GGGUUCAACAUAACAUUUGAUUAGCACGGACUGAAGCGAUCUUUAGAAAUACUACGAGGGAUGAAAUAGUUCAAAUAUAGACGAUUCAGCGUGAAAUUAUUGUCAACAAACCCACGUGGAGUACAAAUGAUUUACAAUGGUUGACUGGAAGUGACAGGCCUUCUCUUCAAAAUAAACAAGAUGUGUCCCUGCUACGGAGGCACCUAACAGAAAGUGGAUAUAAUUAAGAUUGCAUUGUGGAUUUGCCCUGUGCCACCUCUAAAUGGCAGAAGAAAACUCAACUCAGCACAACCAGAAACACUUUUCUGAAGAAAAUUCUGCCAAGAGACAGUUGUGAAGGGAAUCGUGUAGAUAAUCUCCAGAAAAGAAAUCACCACUGAUAUUAGGAUGUAUGUAACAAUAUUUUAAUACAAUCAUCAAAGACAAAUUUACCACAGGAAUAAAAACAAAACUGUCUGGCAUUCAAGGGCCUGCCAUGGUAGAAGCUCUCCUGAAAAAAUAUUCCAUUUAUUGUGGACAUCAUGACACAGGGCUCACCUGUCAUCAGCAUUAGAGACUUGUGUGAUUUGUUCUACCUGGGCCAUACACCCUUACCAAAAUAUUGACCUUCUGGCAACAUCUUCUGGCUUUAUUGCCGCAAUAUUGCAGCAACAUUCUGGCAAUACAUUGCCGCAAUAUUGCGGCUAUAUCGUUUUUCGUAUGUAAAUUAGUUUUGCGGCAAUAUUGCCAGAAAGGGGUUGCGGCAAUAUUGCUGCAAAUCAUGACCAAAAUAUAGAUCUUCUGGCAACAUCUUCCGGCAUUAUUGCCGCAAUAUUGCGGCUAUAUCGUUUUUCAUAUGUUAAUUAGUUUUGCGGCAAUAUUGCCAGAAAGGUGUUGCGGCAAUAUUGCUGCAAAUCAUGACCAAAAUAUUGAUCUUCUGGCAACAUCUUCCGGCAUUAUUGACGCAAUAUUGCGGCAAUAUCGUUUUUCUAAUGUAAGUUAGAUAUAAAUUGGUAUUUAAUAGAAAUAUAAUGAUCUAUCAAUCUAACAAUUAACAAACUGUGCUGAGGAAUAUAACAAACAAUAGCAAGCCACAGGGUCAAUAAGAAAUAGCUACAAGUGUACUUCUGCUAUUCUUUGAACAGAUAUAAAAUUAUGUUGAUUUUUUUUUUUUGAUUUAUGUUUGUGAAACACUGUGCGCCUGGUGGCAAUAAAGUUUGAAAAAGCUAUUUAUAGCAUAUGGGUCACAGUCAAGGUCACAAAGUCAUUGAUCUUAGUGUCAUUUGAAAGAACUUAAUUAGUAGAGAAUGCAUACUAAAUAUGAAGUCUCUAUCUCUUAUAGUUCAAAAUUUAUGGCAGAGGAUCAAAAUGGCUAUUUUUAGCAUAUGGGUCACAGUAAAGGUCAAAUUGUCAUUGACCUUGGUGUUACUUGAAAGAGUUUAAUUAGUGAAGGGUGCAUACCAAAUAUGAAUUCUCCAUAUUUUAUGACUCAAAAGUUAUGUCGAAGUUUCAAAAAAUCUAUUUUAAGUAUAUGGUCAAGGUGCCAAGGUCAUUGACCUUGGUGUUAUUUGAAAGAGUUUAAUUAAUGAAGGGUGCAUACAUAAUACAAGUUCUCUAUCUUUUAUGGCUCAAGAUUUAUGUCCAAGAUUCAAAAAAUCUAUUUUAAGCAUAUGGGUGACAGCCAAGGUCUCAAGGUCAUUGACCUUCAGGUGUCUUUUGAAAAAGCUUAAUUAGUGAAUUAUGCAUACUAAAUAUAAAGUGGACUCUAUCUUUCAUUUAUUUUAAGUUAUGAUGAAUAUUUGAAAAAGCUAUAUUUAGCAUAUAGGUCACAGUCAAGGUCACAUGGUCAUUGACCUUGAUGUCAUUUGAAAGAACUUAAUUAGUGGAGUAGACAUACCAAAUAUGAAAUCUUUAUCUCUCAUUGGUUCAAAAGUAAUGGUGAAGGUUAAGUUUACAAACAAACGGACAGGACAAAAACAAUAUGUACCCCCGAUCUAUCGAGAUGGGCGCAUGAAAAAUGUUUAUAGAAACAAUAUUAAUAUGCCACUGUGAAAAUGUCCAGCAACUCGAUCUGCAUUAAUUUUCAAAUAACAUGCUUUAAUUCAUCUUUUCCUGCUACUCUAGGAUAUAUAGACAUACAAGUCUAGUAUGCAUGCAUCACAAGCACUAAUUGAAACACAUAUAAUUUUUCCACUUUUAUCUCCAUUGAAUCAUUCAUCUCAAAAAGAAUAUUGGUUUUGACUCACCAAGUCUGAUGAUAUGGAAACAGAGUACACAUUCCUAUAAUUCUGCUUAAAUUCUUCUUUCUAGUCAUUCCACACUAUGCAGUCUUACUACUCAUCUUGACUAAUCCCACUGUACACAAUUAACAACUCUAAUCAACUUGAUACAAGUCAGUAAUGAAGCAAAACAUGCUUGCCUUUGAAUUCCCUCCACUUAAAUUAAAAAGAGGAAGUAAAUGACUGAGCAUGCUCAACAAAUGUCUCAUGGGUAAUCCUAGAUGUUGCCAGAAAGUUUUUUUCUGGCAGUAUUGCCAGAAUGUCACCGGAAGUUGUUGCAACUAGCGGUGAUAUUUCAUUUUUUCUGGCAGUAUUGCCAGAAUGUCACCAGAAGUUGUUGCCGCUAGCGGUGAUAUUUCACUA